GUUUAAUUAGCUCUCUGCCUCCUCAGCUCCAUUCAGGCUGGGCUCGGCCGUAAUUAGGCAGUGGAGAAAAAGUGGAGGAAUCCUCGACCAGGCCGGGCAACCCUGAGUAACUGUAAAGAGGAAUGCUUGGCCCGAGUGCUUUAAGAAGAGUUGUGUUGGCAGUGUCCUCGCGGUGAUAGCGGAGCUGUAAAACGCAGCCGAAUGUGAAAACACCAACUGAGAGACAGUUAAACGGCAAGAAUGCAGUUGAUACAGCUGCUCUAAAAAGCAGAGCGGGAGGAUUUCUCUUUUUUCAAACCGUCUGUGCUUGCUGUUACUGCUGUUGUUGCUCUUGGGCCACCAAACAAGGCAGUGGUGGUAACCGUCAGCAACGGCCCACUCUAAUGUGAGUUAAUCAUAUACCCUGCGGUUAUAUGACAAAAAACAGGUUUUUGGCAUUAAACUGCCUUCACUACAGACCAGUACGAUUGCUACAUUCACACAACACACACACACACACACACAUACAGAGAUACACACUAUCGCUGGGAAGCAUGGCCACCACUGGUGUGAUUCGUGGACUGUGACUGGGAAAUGGUGACAGCGCUGGAUGAAAAAUCUACAAAAGUCUUCCUUAGAUACAGACACACUGAAGUCAUUGAUGUCUGGCACAGUUCUUUUCCGCUUCAUUCUGUGGCUGUCUGUCAUCAGGGUCCCAACUGAGACUCAGUGAUUUAUCGACAGGGUAAACUGUGUAUGAAUCAACCCAAAGCUUUAGUUACACAGUUUACAGUGUUUGAGUAACCACAAGACGCGUGUGUGUACACGCUACCGAUCCCGAUCCCGGCCCACCGGGGACCCUCCGUGUCUCUUGUCAGAGGGGGAAUUCUGCGAUGUCUUAAUGCUGAGCUGUAAAUAUUAAUUUAGAGCUUGGACGGGCUGUGUAAACAGCUCAGCGUAACGCUGCUGCUCUGUGGACUGAGAGUUACACAGUGUCCUUCACAUCAGCUGCUGCUUUAGAGAUGCUGAGAGACAAUAUAUGUAGCCUGUUUAAUUCAGGUUUAAUCCAGAGAAUUCUAGAGUUAUUAAACGUGAUCUGUUUUAGUAUUGUAAUACAGGAUAUCUACAGAUCAGAGGCUUACAUUUAUUUAUGUAGAAAAGGCCUUUAUUUGUCUUAACCCUUUCAGAUCCUGCAAACAAAAAUAGUUAUGGUGACAGGCCUCUAUACAAGAGUGUUUAAAAAGUGAAUUUAAUAUGUAAUAAACAGGGCCUACACUAAACAAAUUCGCGUAAUCUUACAUUAAUCUUGUUUAAACACACAUGGGCAGCAUCUACUAUCCGGGUAUAUUUCAGUAGUUAAUCAAAUGAACUGUAAACAGUGAGCAAGUUGAUCAGUGAGUCUUAAUAUAUUUAAAUAAAAUGAAGUGGUGUUGUGAAAUGUGUGAGCAGUGUGUUGUUUAGCGCUCGCGCCGAAGUCGUUUCACAGCGUGUGCAUCUGUGCAGCAGCAUCGCGAAAUUCUUGCGCAUAUUUAAGUGCAGCUAUUGAAAAAAUGGCCUACUUCCUGUUGUUGUUUAGAGCGGAGUGAUUCUAUUCAGGCCUGAGGAAGUGGAAUGAUUUAAAUACAGAUGUUUUUCACCCAGAACACACUCGCGAGGCACAGUGAGAGAGAGAGUGAGAGAGAGAGAGAGAGAGAGAGAGAGAACAUAACAGUCACAGUCAAAUGGACGAGUGUGCCAAAGAAAAUCGUAAGAGACAAUGAUAUCCAUCCACUUGUUCUUCUUCUUUUAUUUAACAUCUAAAUUUUAAUUUGAUUUGUUGUGUUUUUACUUAAAUACCGAAACCUAAGGCUGAAUUACUCAAUUUCAUAACAAAUGUUCAUGACAACAUUUUAUGUUACAUCACAAUUUUGUCCCAUUUUCUGUCCCUAAUGUACACGGCUAAUUACAUAACCCACUCAUUAGGACUCCCCCUAUAACUAGUGAUGCCCCAACACACCAGGAGGGUGAAGAUGAGCACAUGCCUCCUCCGAUACAUGUGAAGUCAGCCGUCGCCUCUAUUCGAACUGAUGCUAAUGCAGCAUUGCCGAGUAGCAUUUUCGGUUUCAAUACAGCAGCUCACAGACGCCUUGUGCUGAUCGACAUCACCCUUUGUAGUGAUGUGGGCAGAGAGCGCCGUCUACCCACCCAGAAUUCUCCUGGUCAUAGUGGCAGAACUUAGCCCGCUGGCCAAUCGGAGCCCUGUUACAUCACAAUUUUAACAAUUUUAAUAGGAAAUCUAUAAAUAUAUAAAACAUUUGCAGUGAUGUGUCCUCUUUAUCACAGCUAGAAAAUAACAUGAAUGAUCCUCUCAAUCAAUUUAUCUGAUACAAUAUUUAGAAAUUAGUCUAAAUUCUUAUGGGUUAAAUUGAGUCUGUGAAUAAACACAGACAGUACAUUUAAGUUUGGUUUUAUUUAAGUGCAAUAUAUAUCACAGUUUACAAAUUUGAUAUGCUAGUUAGUUAAAUUAAUUAAGUGGAACUACUGACAUUAUUCAUGUCCUGAUGAGUGCCAGUUUCAUCCCAAUGUUUUUGAUAGUCUUUGUGAUAGCAAUAUUGUAAAAUCCACUUCAGCAACUUCCUACCAGCAAGUUACUGUACGUAACGCUCUCUUCCCUUAUAGUGAUGUUUUAAUAAUAAAAUGUUUUUUUUUCUAUAUUUAAAUAUUAAAGCAUUUAAAGGGGACUCUAUACAAUAAAAUGGGGGCCUAUACAAUACAAAAGGAAUUUCUUUGAUUUUACCAAAUUGAAAACCUCUGGAAUAUA